GUUCAAACAAGUCAAUAAAACUAAACUUCGGAGCCAAGCAGUCACGGUGGGAAAAUGACCACUUAAAGAUUGCCAAGAGAAAAGACAAGCACGUUGAACUUCAAAUGGUGAUGGAGAGACCAGGCAUGGGGCAAGGCCUAGGAGAGUGGUUACCCAUGGGGUUUUCAAGUUAACAGUCUUGGAUCAAAAGUCUAGGCGAAAAAGAACCUUCCGCUAUCUCUUACCGUGAAGCUCAUUACUGGACCUUUUACAAUCUGUGGAAUCCAAAUGAAGCAAGCACCACCAGGUCUCAGAAGGGAGUGCAGAUCUUCCUAAUAAGGUCAGUUGGCUGAUGUGGCUGUGAUGAUGUUUGAGGAAGUUUUUUGUUGAAACUGUGCUUAAUGGACUAUCUCCAUGGAUUAACUGCUUCCAUAUUCAUAACAGUCUUACAAAGGAGAGCCUAUCAUUGGUUGUGGUUUACAAAAGAAAAAACUGAGGCCAGAAGAGGAGAAAUGACUUGGGAAAAAACACACCGCUAGUAAGGGACAGAGCCUGGACACUAACCUCACUCCCUUGAAUUCCAAAGUUUAUACCUUUUACAACCAUCAAAUGCCAGAUAAGUGAACGAGAAUGCCUUCAUUACCAUUCUUCGUGUGGACUAAGAGGGUUCUGUUUAGGAAAUGUAAAU
rnacentral:lncRNA from 1 species